GGGGGUAGAAUUCCAUGUGUAGCGGUGAAAUGCGUAGAGAUGUGGAGGAAUACCGGUGGCGAAGGCGGCCCCCUGGACAAAGACUGACGCUCAGGUGCGAAAGCGUGGGGAGCAAACAGGAUUAGAUACCCUGGUAGUCCACGCUGUAAACGAUGUCGAUUUGGAGGUUGUGCCCUUGAGGCGUGGCUUCCGGAGCUAACGCGUUAAAUCGACGCCUGGGGAGUACGGCCGCAAGGUUAAAACUCAAAUGAAUUGACGGGGGCCCGCACAAGCGGUGGAGCAUGUGGUUUAAUUCGAUGCAACGCGAAGAACCUUACCUACUCUUGACAUCCAGAGAAUUUAGCAGAGAUGCUUUAGUGCCUUCGGGAACUCUGAGACAGGUGCUGCAUGGCUGUCGUCAGCUCGUGUUGUGAAAUGUUGGGUUA
rnacentral:rRNA from 1 species